GCUGGGCAUGGUGGCGCGUGCCUGUAGUCCCAGCUACUCGGGGGGCUGAGGCAGAAGAAUCGCUUGAACCCAGGAGGUGGAGGUUGCAGUGAGCCGAGAUCACGCCACUGCACUCCAGCCUGGGUGACAGAGCGAGACUCUGUCUUAA
ensembl:misc_RNA Metazoa_SRP Metazoan signal recognition particle RNA